UACAGAGGCCUCGAGCGUUGUUCGGAAUUACUGGGCGUAAAGGGAAUGUAGGUGGUGACGUAAGUCAGAUGUGAAAGCCCUGGGCUUAACCCGGGAAGUGCAUUUGAUACUGCGUUGCUUGAGUACGAGAGAGGAAAGCGGAAUUUCCAGUGUAGGAGUGAAAUCCGUAGAUAUUGGAAGGAAUACCGAUGGCGAAGGCAGCUUUCUGGCUCGUAACUGACACUGAGAUUCGAAAGCGUGGGUAGCAACAGG
rnacentral:rRNA from 1 species